AAACAUUGAUUGUUUAAUACAUCAAACAUCCGCCCGGGAAUUACGAACAUCAGGGUAAAACCCAAAGGACUUGGCGGUGCUUUACAUCCACCUAGAGGAGCCUGUUCUAGAACCGAUAACCCCCGUUUAACCUCACCCUCCCUUGUUUUUUCCGCCUAUAUACCACCGUCGUCAGCUUACCCUGUGAAGGCCUAAUAGUAAGCAAAAUUGGUAAAACCCAGAACGUCAGGUCGAGGUGUAGUGCAUGAGAGGGGAAGAAAUGGGCUACAUUCACUAAUUAUAGUGAACACGAAUAAAGUAUUGAAAUGAGUACUUCUGAAGGAGGAUUUAGCAGUAAGUGGGAAAUAGAGAGUCCC
rnacentral:rRNA from 1 species